rnacentral:rRNA from 1 species
UACGAAGGGGGCUAGCGUUGCUCGGAAUCACUGGGCGUAAAGGGUGCGUAGGCGGGGCUUUAAGGCAGGGGGGAAAUCCUGGAGCUCAACUCCAGAACUGCCUUUGAUACUGAGGAUCUUGAGUUCGGGAGAGGUGAGUGGAACUGCGAGUGUAGAGGUGAAAUUCGUAGAUAUUCGCAAGAACACCAGUGGCGAAGGCGGCUCACUGGCCCGAUACUGACGCUGAGGCGCGACAGCGUGGGGAGCAAACAGG